rfam:TPA: Bos taurus chromosome 15, whole genome shotgun sequence.
UCCCUUGUGGCUCAGACGAUAAAGCGUCUGCCUACAAUGCAGAAGACCCAGGUUCGAUCCCUGGGUCGGGAA